AGGAUAUCAGUGACUGAAGAUCAAAUGAAUGAAAUGAACAAUCCUCCCCUCAUCCAUGGUUUCAUUUUCUAUGGUUCCAGUUACUCAUGGUCAACCAUGGUCAGAAAACAGGACAAACUGAGAGUAAAAGAUGCAGGAAUAAAACACAGAAAUCAAAAUAAAGGGUUUACUGCUGAAAAAUCCGCUUGAACAAGCCUGUUAAUGUGAUCUUCCUGAAUGAAGCCAGCUUACCCCUAGGCCUCCACUGUCCCUCAGGAAAGAGAACACGAAAACUGGAACUCUCUGCAGAAAGGAGGAUCCCAAAGAAGGGGCCAAGCUGUACAUUUAUCAAUCAGGAAAGCCACUCCACCCUCCAUGGCAGCCCCUACAAUUUGAAACAAGUAUUCUUCCUAACAUAACACAUUAAUUCAUGAGUUUAUCAGUUCAUUUCAUUUUUACUUUGAGAUUUUUGUGAAUAACCAUAGAAAAAUCUAUUUCACCUGGCAAUAAAUAGGAAAAGGCACAGCAUAAUGUUUAAAUACAGAGAAUAUUGUUACAUGUAAGAUGUUGAUUGAAUGUUCUAAAUACAAUUUGAAAACUGCGUGAGAGGAGGAAAACGUAUAUUCAGAAGGACUUAGGUGAAUCCAGAUGAAUAUUUUCAUGACAGGAUGUUGGCUAUUGAUAUGAAGAAAGUAGAGGAAUAGACUUGCUAAAAGUUAGAGGAGUCUAGUUUAUCUUCCAAGAAGCUUUGCAACCCUGUAAUACUGUAGAAAUCACAAAUUUGGCAAUAAUUUUAAGAUAAUUUAUGUUCAUUUUUUAUGGAAUGCCAUGUUUAUCUUUUUAUAUAUGACAUUUUCUGG